AGUGGGUUAUACAUGUACACAUGCUGGUUCUUUUCUUUUUCUUAUCAUAUUUUAUUGCUAGAGAUGUUAAUUGGGUGUUAUAUCCUUCUAAUGUUACCUCUUUGAUUGACCCAAGACUCGGAAGGAAGUAUUAUAUUGAAUACACCAUGUACACCGUAUGGUUAUCAUGUUUAUUCUUACGUCUAUAAAGUCAGUGUAGUAGAACUUUGCGGUACAAUAAUAAUUUGGAAUUAUUGUAUUGCCAGUGAUGGAUUAUGACGCGUGUUUUGUAAUACAUACAGUACUGUAAAGUGAAACGAGGUCAUUUUGUUGUGUACUUUGGUCAAAGGAAGAGAAAGAUGGAGUCCCUUAGAAAAGGAAAAGGAGACUGAUGGGAUUUCGUUUUAAAGGAACUAGAGUCUGAAGCUAACCUGAUACAUACGAGAGUUCUGCAAAGACCAACUUGCCACAUUUUGUAGGGAGAACAGCCAAGGGUGGAACGUUGCCUCCAGUAUUGUAUAUUCAAGCCGACAACUGCUGCGGGAAAACAAAAAUAAAUCGUUUUGCGAGUUACUGGUGCACAUGAAAGUAUUUCAAGAGGUUCACCUUUCUUUUCUGUAUGUUGGACACACACAUGAGGAUAUUGACGCCGGUUUCAGCAAAAUAGCAGAUUCCCUCCGUCGAAAUGACACAGAAACUAU